CAAUGUGUUAAGAACAAAAAACUAGAUAACAUUGAUGAAGGACUUCUCGCUUAGCUGCAUUGUCUUUACUAAUAUAUAAUCUAACCAGUGCCAUGAGGGAACCUGACGGCCAACACGAAACUUGAAGAUGAAAACGGUCUAUAGUUUGUCUCCUGGUUCUUUUUAUGAUCUCUACUUUAAUUCUAUUUGUACUGGGGCAAGACUACGAUGUCGAGGCUCCAGCAGCUGCCUAUCGCUCCGGGAUCUCUGGACUCCGAUGGCCCCC
rnacentral:lncRNA from 1 species